CCUCCAGCUGUUUUGGGACUACAAUUCCCACCAUCCCUGACCAUUGGGUCCUGUUAGCUAGGGAUGAUGGGAGUUGUAGUCCCAAAACAGCUGGAGG